rnacentral:tRNA from 1 species
GGUCCCGUGGUGCAAUGGUUAGCACAUCCACUGCGUAUGUGGAAGAUCUGCGUUCGAUUCGCAGCGAGACCA